rnacentral:rRNA from 1 species
CCAGACUCCUACGGGAGGCAGCAGUGAGGAAUAUUGGUCAAUGGCCGAGAGGCUGAACCAGCCAAGUCGCGUGAGGGAUGACGGCCCUACGGGUUGUAAACCUCUUUUGCCGGGGAGCAAAGAGCGGGACGCGUCCCGCCUCGAGAGUACCCGGAGAAAAAGCAUCGGCUAACUACGUGCCAGCAGCCGCGGUAAUACGUAGGGGGCGAGCGUUAUCCGGAUUCAUUGGGCGUAAAGCGCGCGUAGGCGGCCGCCUAAGCGGGACCUCUAACCCCGGGGCUCAACCCCGGGCCGGGUCCCGGACUGGGCGGCUCGAGUGCGGUAGAGGAGAGCGGAAUUCCCGGUGUAGCGGUGGAAUGCGCAGAUAUCGGGAAGAACACCGAUGGCGAAGGCAGCUCUCUGGGCCGUCACUGACGCUGAGGCGCGAAAGCUGGGGGAGCGAACAGGAUUAGAUACCCGAGUAC